CCCCAGGUGUAUUAGUCUAAACACCGUGGUAAGAUAAGGCUGGUAACAGAAUGUAAGCAUACAUUGCUUAUACUUAAAAUGGUUUAUCUGAAGAAGUAACAAUUAGUUAUGAAACAGAUUAAUAUCCUGAAAAUCUGUAAUAUUGCAUAUCGUUCGCUGUACUGCACAUGGAUUUGGCUUUGAAAGCGUAAGAUUAAAUUAUGCAGAUUGUCUCCA